UUUGCAUAUUCAAUAAGCGGAGGAAAAGAAACCAACAGGGAUUGCCUCAGUAGCGGCGAGUGAAGCGGCAAGAGCUCAGAUUUGAAAUCGUGCUUUGCGGCACGAGUUGUAGAUUGCAGGUUGGAGUCUGUGUGGAAGGCGGUGUCCAAGUCCCUUGGAACAGGGCGCCCAGGAGGGUGAGAGCCCCGUGGGAUGCCGGCGGAAGCAGUGAGGCCCUUCUGACGAGUCGAGUUGUUUGGGAAUGCAGCUCCAAGCGGGUGGUAAAUUCCAUCUAAGGCUAAAUACUGGCGAGAGACCGAUAGCGAACAAGUACUGUGAAGGAAAGAUGAAAAGCACUUUGAAAAGAGAGUGAAACAGCACGUGAAAUUGUUGAAAGGGAAGGGUAUUGCGCCCGACAUGGGGAUUGCGCACCGCUGCCUCUCGUGGGCGGCGCUCUGGGCUUUCCCUGGGCCAGCAUCGGUUCUUGCUGCAGGAGAAGGGGUUCUGGAACGUGGCUCUUCGGAGUGUUAUAGCCAGGGCCAGAUGCUGCGUGCGGGGACCGAGGACUGCGGCCGUGUAGUCACGGAUGCGCAGACGAUCAA
rnacentral:rRNA from 1 species